UACGGAGGGGGCUAGCGUUGUUCGGAAUUACUGGGCGUAAAGGGCGCGUAGGCGGCGCGAUAAGUUGGGCGUGAAAGGCCCGGGCUCAACCCGGGGACUGCGCUUGAUACUGUCGCGCUGUGAGUCCGGGAGAGGAUGGCGGAAUUCCCAGUGUAGAGGUGAAAUUCGUAGAUAUUGGGAAGAACACCGGUGGCGAAGGCGGCCAUCUGGACCGGCACUGACGCUGAGGCGCGAAAGCGUGGGUAGCAAACAGG
rnacentral:rRNA from 1 species